AGGAGCAAACCUGACAUUUUUGAGGAAAUGUUGUUAGCUCAAGCCUCUGAUCACAAAUCUGUAGUGUUUGGGACUGUAUCCAAUAUUCUAAAAUGAACAUCCCUACCACACCUCUUCUAAUURCACGGGGUGAUCAUCCGAAAAGUGACUGGAGCCACUGAAGAUGUAGAAAUAUGGAUUGUUUAACUCGCUGUGUCCCUCCUGCCAUAAUAUUAAGGACCAACAUGAAGAAGGAUCUAUUUGCCAGUGUCAGGAUCUGGAACUUUCGAUACCAAGAUCAGCAGCAGAGYGGUCUCAGGAGCACUCAAAACCUUGGAAGCCCUGUCCUUUUAUUUUCAACACAUUUUCAUGAACUGCACGCUUUUCUCAAUCACUAGAUUGUUAGUAGAGCAUAAGCUGGUAAUAGAACUCCACAGGGCUAGAAAUUUCAGGAAUUUCAAAUGGAAUGAAGGAGACAAUUAAAAGGAAAAGUAAAAYGCUGCA